rnacentral:rRNA from 1 species
CAGCCGCCGCGGUAAUACAGAGGGUGCGAGCGUUAAUCGGAUUUACUGGGCGUAAAGCGUGCGUAGGCGGCUUCUUAAGUCGGAUGUGAAAUCCCUGAGCUUAACUUAGGAAUUGCAUUCGAUACUGGGAAGCUAGAGUAUGGGAGAGGAUGGUAGAAUUCCAGGUGUAGCGGUGAAAUGCGUAGAGAUCUGGAGGAAUACCGAUGGCGAAGGCAGCCAUCUGGCCUAAUACUGACGCUGAGGUACGAAAGCAUGGGGAGCAAACAGGAUUAGAGACCCCCGUAGUCCCUGUCUCUUAUAA